AUUGAACGCUGGCGGCAGGCCUAACACAUGCAAGUCGAGCGAGCGGCGGACGGGUUAGUAAUGUCUCGGAAACUGCCUGAUGGAGGGGGAUAACUACUGGAAACUGUAGCUACUACCGCCUACCAGCACCUGGGCCCAGAUGGUUUUAGCUAGUAGGUGGGGUAAUGGCUAACCAAGGCGACGAUCCCUAGCUGGGCUGAGAGGAUGACCAGCCACACUGGAACUGAGACACGGUCCAGACUCCUACGGGAGGCAGCAGUGGGGAAUAUUGCACAAGGGGCGAAAGCCUGAUGCAGCCAUGCCGCGUGUGUGAAGAAGGCCUUCGGGUUGUAAAGCACUUUCAGCGAGGAGGCGUUACUCACAGAAGAAGCACCGGCUAACUCCGUGCCAGCAGCCGCGGUAAUUC
rnacentral:rRNA from 1 species